UUAUCUUUGAAAUUUUUUCAAUUAAUCAUUGGUUAUGGGCUUUAUUACAUAGCUUUGUUUCAUUGGACACAUUGCAAUGGUUUGUUCUGUUUUCAUGUCUAUUUUUUCUUAUGAUGAGUGCUAAUUGACUAUCAUCCUCUGUUAUCUCUGUGUUUUAGAAUAGAGAUGGUAGUCUUGGAAGAGGGUUUAUGUUUGUAGUGCUUUCUGGUUUUUAUUUCAAUAAUAGUGAGCAGAUACCACUUAAGAAUGUGAUAGCCCGUUUCCCUACUCUUUUUCAUGUUGCAAUGCACUACACAUCAAUUAUAUCUGCUCUCUUUUUUUUUGGGUUACAGAGGAGGGGUUUAAGGCCCCUUAAGCAGGAAUUAAUGAUAUCUGCUCUUACAUUAGUAGCUCUCUAGGUUCUAGUGGAGGCGCUUGCUUCCAAAUGGGUUUUGACUGAGCUGUAGUUGAAUAUGAAAUCAUGUGAAGUCUGUAUAGAAGAAAUUCUGAAGGCUUAAUAACCAAAUACAUCAAAAGUUAAUUUUAUUUCAAAAAGAUUGUGGUGUUUUCUGUGUCUAAUGGUAUAUUGUGGCAUUAAUUUAAAUAUUAAUCAAUUCCCUGGUUGAUUUGUCAUCUCUUGUAAAAUGUUGAGAUGUUUGUUUCAUGGUCUUUAUUUCUAUAAGCAUGAGCUAUUGUUGAUUGGGAUUCUUGAUGCCAAUUAGUAACUAUAUAUCUUGAAUAAUUUCUAACUAUCCAGUUAUUAGUUUGGUGCAAUAAACUGAGAUACUUUGUAUGGGUGGCAACGUUUACUGAUUAAGUGCUGGUUAAUUGUUCCUAAAAUGGUGGCUUGUCUUCAAUUUUUGCACGCUUUAUGGUAAAAGCAUGCAUUAGUUAUUCACAAAUAUUAGGAAUACCUUGAACACCAAUCUGCUUAUGCACUAUAAGCUAGUAUACUGGUUUUCUACUAAGUUAGAGAAGCUGAGUGGGUGAAUUUUUGGACUGAAGAGCGAAGGAAGAUUAUUUCCUUUUUCUUUUUGUAUUCUGCUCAACAGACUUGUGUCCUUUUCACUUGUCCUGGACACCUAUAAGAAUGUACUGCAUGCUACCAAUAUGUAACUUUGCAUUGCCUCAUUGUGGCAGCUGGUGUUCCUGUUUUUAGGACUGCCCAUGCGCAUUUUGUUUUACCCCUAAGAAGUAUCACGGAUAGAUACUUUGUUAUGCCAAUCAAGUUACUAUUCAAGGCUAGCUCACUGCUGGUCAGGUAGGUGAUGAAUGUCCAAUAUGAUCUAUGAUGUAGUGUUUUUUGUUUUUUUUUUGAGUGAGAAUCUGAUGUAGUGUUUUUCAUGACUGUCUAACGUUAUAUGAUUGUAAAGUAGAUGUUCUAAUUUCAAUUUUGCACAACUUUUGAAUGGUGAAAAACUUGUCAAGUUUAUGGCAAAUUUUGUAAAAAUUAGUCAACUUAAUUUCACUUUUGUGUAUAAUAGUAGCUAAACUCGAGCAAUGAAGUAUAUAUGUUAUAAAUGCCAAAGCUUAAACUUAAUUUCGAUGUUGGUGUAUGAUAAAAUUAGCGACGAGGUAUGUUAUAAACGGUAAUGACUUUUACAAAUAAUCCCAUGAUUGAAUUUAUUACAGGGUAGUGGAGAGAGGUUUUCUCCAAUUAAAUGAAGCAGAGCCUGGUCUACUUGAACAAGAACUUAAAGUAACUGCUUGUAGAGUAACAUCUGUGUAGUGUCUUGUUCUAUAAAGGAGGUGAGAUUAUUGUAUACUUGUUGUAGCAAAUUAGUGACCCUGUCAAAUUUCUUUGAAGGCGCUGAAUAUUAGAUGAGAAUGAUAUUAAGAAGCAAGAGGAAAAGCUAGAGGCAGGUCUGCAAGGAGGAGGAAAGUGGUGGUGCCUUGGUGUUUCAAUGUUGAAGCUGAUGGCUUGGUUCCUUUGUUUUGUGUUUUUGAAAUCCACAAUUGGUUGAAUUCUUGUCUUACUUUGAAGCUAGAAAGGACCAUUACAAUUCAAAAGGGCUACCUCUCUCUUUGGCUUGUUUUAGGCUUUUAGCGAGAAUACAUUUUUCUAUUUCUUUUAGCGAGAAUACAUUUAUUAAACUUUUUGUGAGAAUGCAUUCUUCUAAAGAAUCGUGAAUUUGUGUUGCAAUAUUUUCUAUUUAUAUUUUCAUUGUUGGUUGUGGUUUUGCCAGAAUGUCUCAGCUGGUUGUUGCUCUUGGGGCUUAUCGAGAUUUUGGCUGACGCCAAGAGACUACUAAUGGCUAGGACUGGUGUUGCUUCCAGAGGCCAAAAGUUUCGAUUGCUAACAAACCAUUUCAAUGUUAAAGUAGCCAGAAAUGAGGGCUACUUUUCCACUACAGUGUAUAUAACCUCUAUCUCUAUGAUGGUUGUUUAAGCAAGCAAUUUAGCACAAGUAUUCUGUUCUUGAUAUGCAGGUGUCGAUUUAUAUUAUCAUUGUUGCAAUAUUCUAUUUAUAUUGUCAUUGUUGGUUGUAAUUUUGCCAGAAUGUCCUAGCUAGUUUCGGGGUUUUGGCUGAUAUAUUGCCAAAAA